rnacentral:sRNA from 1 species
AUAUUAACUAACGUCGCACAUAUACCGUCACAUGUGAUCCGGGUGCCCGGCCGGCAGAAUCUGCCAGUAGGGUUGAUCCAUGGGGUGUAUGGAGGCCUAAC